rnacentral:rRNA from 1 species
UUAAUUGAGAGUUUGAUCCUGGCUCAGGACGAACGCUGGCGGCGUGCUUAACACAUGCAAGUCGAGCGAUGAAGUUCCUU